GACGAACCGUGCGAACGUUAUUCGGAAUCACUGGGCUUAAAGCGCGUGUAGGCGGGCCGGCACGUCGGUCGCUGAAAUCCCCCGGCUCAACCGGGAAGGGGCGCCGAUACGACCGGCCUGGAGGGGGUAGGGGGCGCUGGAACUCACGGUGGAGCGGUGAAAUGCGUUGAGAUCGUGAGGAACGCCCGCGGCGAAAGCGAGCGCCUGGACCCUUUCUGACGCUGAGACGCGAAAGCCAGGGAGCGAACGGG
rnacentral:rRNA from 1 species